ensembl:snRNA U6 U6 spliceosomal RNA
GUACUCACUUUAGUAGCACAUGUACUAGAAUUGGAACAGAGAUUAGCACGGACCCUGCACAAGAAUGACAUGAAAAUUAGCAAAGUGUUCCGUAUUUUC